AGUGAACGCUAGUGGCGUGCUUAACACAUGCAAGUCGAACGGACGAUAUUUGUGCUUGCACAAAUAAAGUUAGUGGCAAACGGGUGAGUAAUACAUGAGAAUUUUCCUUGCAGUACGGAAUAACUAUUGGAAACAGUAGCUAAUACCGUAUAUUGCCGAGAGGUGAAAGAUUUAUCGCUGCAAGAUAAGCCCAUGCAAGAUUAGCUUGUUGGUAAGGUAAUGGCUUACCAAGGCUACGAUCUUUAGCUGGUCUGAGAGGACGAUCAGCCACAUUGGGACUGAGACACGGCCCAGACUCCUACGGGAGGCAGCAGUGGGGAAUAUUGGACAAUGGGCGCAAGCCUGAUCCAGCCAUACCGCGUGUGUGAAGAAGGCCUUCGGGUUGUAAAGCACUUUAAGCAGGGAGAAAAAGUUAUAAGUUAAUACCUUAUAACCGUGAUGUUACCUGCAGAAUAAGCACCGGCUAAUUCCGUGCCAGCCGCCGCCGUAACAC
rnacentral:rRNA from 1 species